rnacentral:rRNA from 1 species
ACGCAAUAGAUACCCAGGUAGUCCACGCCCUAAACGAUGUCUACUAGUUGUCGGGUCUUAAUUGACUUGGUAAACGCAGCUAAACGCGUGAAGUAGACCGCCUGGGGAGUACGGUCGCAAGAUUAAAACUCAAAGGAAUUGACGGGGACCCGCACAAGCGGUGGAUGAUGUGGAUUAAAUUCGAUGCAACGCGAAAAACCUUACCUACCCUUGACAUGGAUGGAAUCCCUGAGAGAUUGGGGAGUGCUCGAAAGAGAACCAUUACACAGGUGCUGCAUGGCUGUCGUCAGCUCGUGUCGUGAGAUGUUGGGUUAAGUCCCGCAACGAGCGCAACCCUUGUCAUUAGUUGCUACGAAAGGGCACUCUAAUGAGACUGCCGGUGACAAACCGGAGGAAGGUGGGAUGACGUCAAGUCCUCAUGGCCCUUAUGGGUAGGGCUUCACACGUCAUACAAUGGUACAUACAGAGGGCCGCCAACCCGCGAGGGGUAGCUAAUCCCAGAAAGUGUAUCGUAGUCCGGAUUGUAGUCUGCAACUCG